rnacentral:rRNA from 1 species
CCUACGGGUGGCAGCAGUUGGGAAUCUUGCACAAUGGGGGAAACCCUGAUGCAGCGACGCCGCGUGGAGGAUGAAGGGUCUAGGCCUGUAAACUCCUUUUACCAGGAAAACGGUACCUGGGGAAUAAGGACCGGCUAACUACGUGCCAGCAGCCGCGGUAAGACGUAGGGUCCAAGCGUUGUCCGGAUUUACUGGGCGUAAAGAGCGCGUAGGCGGUCCGUUAAGUGUAGAGUGAAAGCUCCGGGCUCAACCCGGAAAUUGCUCUGCAUACUGGCGGACUUGAGGAUGGAAGAGGUUUGUGGAAUUCCUGGUGUAGCGGUGAAAUGCGUAGAUAUCAGGAGGAACACCCAUGGCGAAGGCAGCAAACUGGCCUAUCUGACGCUGAGGCGCGAAAGCGUGGGUAGCAAACAGGAUUAGAUACCCUUGUAGUC